rnacentral:misc_RNA from 1 species
UGUUUCAGAAAUAAUGUUAGAGACUGAUGUGUGUUCAGUUUGCGGGGGUGCGGCUGAAACCAACUUUAUAAAGAAUAAGUUAACAUACACUUGUGCUUCACUACAAACAUCACUUCACACACUCUUGGGAGAAGGAAAAUAUCGAGCAGUGUGUCAUCUCUGUUAUGCACUGAUUGAUCGAAUUGAUUUUCUUCAACUCGAAAUUAAACUGAAACUAAGCGAGCUCAAGACUAUCUUUUCACAAACAUUAAGGAAAAUUUCCGUAAGUACUAAACCCAUGUACUGUAGAGAGAUAAAAGAGAAAGUAAAAUUACCAAGAUUCCCUUGCAAACUCUGCUUGAAACUAUUAACGGAGCGUGGUCUGGAAAAGCAUAGAAAAGUCUGUAUUGCCAAACACAAUAAUAAAGUUCCUGCUGACAAUGUUCUCGUGGAAAGCAAAGUAGAGCAGUUUAAGUGUAAAUUAUGUGAGAAAACGUUUACACGUCAGAGCGACUGCAAGAAUCACAUCAGAAUUCAUACAGGAGACAAACCGUUCCAGUGUGAAGAAUGCGGAUCUAGAUUUAAUCAAAAACAAAAUUUAAGAACGCACAUGAGGAUCAAACAUUUUAAGGAGAAGAGAUAUGAAUGUGUUGAAUGUGAUAAAAAGUUUACUCGGAAACGUCUUCUGGACGGACACAUGAACAGCAAGCAUAAUCAGACCCGACCCUAUCAGUGCCAGUUCUGCCAGGCUCGGUUCUUUUACGCUGAUCAUGUUCGGAAACACGAGGCAAAAUCCUGCCGGGCUCACAAAAAACAAUGUGUGCAGUGUAAAAAGUUUGUUCAUCAAAGUUCACUGGAAUCUCAUGUUUGUAGGAGUAAAGCAGGAGGUAAAAGCAAUAAAAUCAAUAACACUGAAAAUAAAGAGGGUCAGCUUAAUAUAACUAAUAGUCAGGUUAUUUUGUGUGUUCCGGAUCAAGAAAGUCUGUUAAAACUCUAUCAAAUAGGGGAACAUGGAACACCUGGGGCUAGGAACAUGGUCAAGAUUAGUGAAGAUCAAAUACAAACCUGUGAAAUACUCAUUGACAGUAUAGAAGAGAAUUGUAUAGCAGUUGUGGAAGAGGAGGUGGUUAUGAUAGAGGAGAAGGUUGAGCACCCCCAGGCGGGGUUGAAGGAGAAGGCUGAGAACCCCCAGGCGGGGUUGAAGGAGAAGGUUCAGAACCCCCAGGUUGAGUUAAAUGACAGAUCAGCUGAGUUUGAGGUGGAUAAUGCUGUGUUUAGUAUUGUUUAGAGUUCUGUUUAUUGAGGCAGAUAUAUUUAUUUUUGUUGGGACUUCAAGCGUAAUUUCAAAAUUCACGUUCACAGUCACUUCAAAGAACGUGUUCGCACAAAAUUUAGUUAAUUGUUUAACCUGUGCUGAUUUUGGAACUUUAAUUCAGUAAAAAAUACUUUGCAAAAAAUCCUUUAUAAAGAUUGUAAUCAUGUGAAUUGUAGUAUUUAACCUCAAAGCUUUGUCAAAUAUUGAGAGGAUUGAUAAUGCUGAAGAUCAUUGCUAAUGAAUGGUUGUUAACUUCAUAUAACACAGAAGAUCUAUAAUGCUGAAGAGUGAAGAUCCCUGUAAAUGAUUGUUAACUAUAUAUUACAGAAGAUCAUUUAUGCUUAAGAUAAAACAAAUGAUCGUUAACUAUAUAUUUAAGAAGAUCAUAAAUGCUUGAGAUAAAAACAAAUUAUUUUUAAAAAUUCAUUACAGAA